AACGAACGCUGGCGGCAUGCCUAACACAUGCAAGUCGAACGGGAUCCGGACUUCGGUUCGGUGAGAGUGGCGGACGGGUGAGUAACGCGUGGGAACCUGCCCAGUGGUGGGGGAUAACUGCGGGAAACUGCAGCUAAUACCGCAUGAGCCCGAGAGGGGAAAGAUUUAUCGCCAUUGGAGGGGCCCGCGUUCGAUUAGGUAGUUGGUGAGGUAACGGCUCACCAAGCCGACGAUCGAUAGCUGGUCUGAGAGGAUGAUCAGCCACACUGGGACUGAGAUACGGCCCAGACUCCUACGGGAGGCAGCAGUGGGGAAUAUUGGACAAUGGGGGCAACCCUGAUCCAGCAAUGCCGCGUGAGUGAUGAAGGCCUUCGGGUUGUAAAGCUCUUUGUCCAGGGACGAUGAUGACGGUACCUGGAGAAUAAGACCCCGGC
rnacentral:rRNA from 1 species